GUGAAGCCUGUUGGGAGCGCAUGGCUGGGGAUUGAAGGGAGCGACUUGAACCCAGGACCGAGGACUUGUGCGCCCCUUGGAAAUGUGCAACUUGAACCCAUGGCCAGGACUUAAUGUGCCCCUUGGAAGCACAUAACUCGAACCCACGACCCACCACCGCAGAGGACGUUAUUGGGCGGUUGGGAGCGCAUGACUUGAACCCCCAACCGAGGACGGGAUGUGCGACUUGAACCCGUGGCCAGGACUUAAAUGUGCGAGGUGAAGCCUGUUGGGAGCGCAUGAGUCGAACCCAUGACUGGGGAUUGACUGUUGGGAAUGUGCGAUUUGAACCCGCAACUGGGACUGAAUGGGAGUGCGCAAUUUGAACCCAGGGCCGAGGACUUAAUGCGCCCAUUAGAAGUGUGCGAUGUGAACCCACAACCGAGGAGUUAAUGCACCACUUGCAAGUGCAUGACUCGAACCCAUGGCCGGGACUUAAUGGGCAUGUUGGGAGCGCACAACUUGAACCCACAACUGGGGUUUACUGGGCCUGUUGGGAGUGCGCAAUUUGAACCCAUGGCCAAGGACUUGAUGCGUUGGAAGCGCAUAACUUGAACCCGCUACCGGUGAGGACUUAUGUGCCUGUUGGGAGGGUGCGAUUUGAGCCCAUGGCCGGGACUUAAUGGGCGUGUUGUGAGCGCAUGGCUUGAACCCGCAACCGAGGACGGAAUGUGCGACUUGAACCCGUAGCCAGGACUUAAAUGUGCGAGGUGAAGCCUGUUGGGAGCGCAUGACUGGGGAUUGAAUGGAGCAACUUGAACCCGGGACCGAGGACUUGUGCGCCCGUUGGAA